UACGGAGGGUGCGAGCGUUAAUCGGAAUUACUGGGCGUAAAGCGCAUGCAGGCGGUUUGUUAAGCGAGAUGUGAAAGCCCCGGGCUCAACCUGGGAAUUGCAUUUGAUACUGGAUGGCUAGAGUGUGGUAGAGGUGAGUGGAAUUUCAGGUGUAGCGGUGAAAUGCGUAGAGAUCUGAAGGAAUACCGGUGGCGAAGGCGGCCCCCUGGACAAAGACUGACGCUCAGAUGCGAAAGCGUGGGGAGCAAACAGG
rnacentral:rRNA from 1 species